UUGAACGCUGGCGGCAGGCCUCACACAUGCAAGUCGAGCGGAUGAAGGGAGCUUGCUCCUGGAUUCAGCGGCGGACGGGUGAGUAAUGCCUAGGAAUCUGCCUGGUAGUGGGGGAUAACGUCCGGAAACGGGCGCUAAUACCUCAUACGUCCUGAGGGAGAAAGUGGGGGAUCUUCGGACCUCACGCUAUCAGAUGAGCCUAGGUCGGAUUAGCUAGUUGGUGGGGUAAAGGCCUACCAAGGCGACGAUCCGUAACUGGUCUGAGAGGAUGAUCAGUCACACUGGAACUGAGACACGGUCCAGACUCCUACGGGAGGCAGCAGUGGGGAAUAUUGGACAAUGGGCGAAAGCCUGAUCCAGCCAUGCCGCGUGUGUGAAGAAGGUCUUCGGAUUGUAAAGCACUUUAAGUUGGGAGGAAGGGCAGUAAGUUAAUACCUUGCUGUUUUGACGUUACCAACAGAAUAAGCACCGGCUAACUUCGUG
rnacentral:rRNA from 1 species